AUACUAAUCACCUCGGGAUCUCGUUAAAAUGCAGAUUCUGACUCAGUAGGUCUGGGUUAGGGCCCAAGAGUUUGCACUUCUAACAAGCUCCCAGCCGAUGCUGAU
rnacentral:pre_miRNA from 1 species